GGUUGAUCCUGCCAGUAGUCAUAUGCUUGUCUCAAAGAUUAAGCCAUGCAUGUCUCAGUAUAAACUUCUAUAUGGUGAAACUGCGAAUGGCUCAUUAAAACAGUUAUAAUUUAUUUGAUGGUCGCUUACUACAUGGAUAACUGUGGUAAUUCUAGAGCUAAUACAUGCAUCAAUACCCAACUUCUUGGAAGGGUUGUGUUUAUUAGAUACAGAACCAACCCAGGCUCGUCCUGGUUUUGUGGUGAUUCAUGAUAACUGAAUGAAUCGUAUGGCAUCCGCUGGCGAUAAAUCAU
rnacentral:rRNA from 1 species